CCUACGGGUGGCAGCAGUGGGGAAUAUUGGACAAUGGGGGCAACCCUGAUCCAGCCAUGCCGCGUGUGUGAAGAAGGCCCUCGGGUUGUAAAGCACUUUCAGUGAGGAAGAACGCCUGGUGGUUAAUACCCAUCAGGAAAGACAUCACUCACAGAAGAAGCACCGGCUAACUCCGUGCCAGCAGCCGCGGUAAUACGGAGGGUGCGAGCGUUAAUCGGAAUUACUGGGCGUAAAGCGCGCGUAGGUGGCUUGAUAAGCCGGUUGUGAAAGCCCCGGGCUCAACCUGGGAACGGCAUCCGGAACUGUCAAGCUAGAGUGCAGGAGAGGAAGGUAGAAUUCCCGGUGUAGCGGUGAAAUGCGUAGAGAUCGGGAGGAAUACCAGUGGCGAAGGCGGCCUUCUGGACUGACACUGACACUGAGGUGCGAAAGCGUGGGUAGCAAACAGGAUUAGAUACCUUUGUAGUC
rnacentral:rRNA from 1 species